GCCUAGCCCUGAUAGUAGUGAAAAUCCUUUUAAUAGCGAUAGCGGUUAAAAGAUUGUAGCGGAUAGCAGGAUUAAGC
rnacentral:sRNA from 1 species